GGGUCGUUAGCUCAACUGGGAGAGCAGCGGACUCUUACUCCGCGGGUUCGGGGUUCGAUCCCCCGGCGACCCA
rnacentral:tRNA from 1 species